rnacentral:rRNA from 1 species
UACGUAGGUCCCGAGCGUUGUCCGGAUUUAUUGGGCGUAAAGCGAGCGCAGGUGGUUUAUUAAGUCUGGUGUAAAAGGCAGUGGCUCAACCAUUGUAUGCAUUGGAAACUGGUAGACUUGAGUGCAGGAGAGGAGAGUGGAAUUCCAUGUGUAGCGGUGAAAUGCGUAGAUAUAUGGAGGAAUACCGGUGGCGAAAGCGGCUCUCUGGCCUGUAACUGACACUGAGGCUCGAAAGCGUGGGGAGCAAACAGG